rnacentral:rRNA from 1 species
UACGUAGGGGGCUAGCGUUGUCCGGAUUUAUUGGGCGUAAAGGGUGCGUAGGCGGCGCGGUAAGUCGGGUGUGAAAUCUCGGAGCUUAACUCCGAAACUGCAUUCGAUACUGCCGUGCUUGAGGACUGGAGAGGAGACUGGAAUUUACGGUGUAGCGGUGAAAUGCGUAGAUAUCGUAAGGAAGACCAGUGGCGAAGGCGGGUCUCUGGGCCUAACUGACGCUGAGAAGCGAAAAGCAUGGGGGAGCGAACAGG